rnacentral:rRNA from 1 species
GGGUUUUUGAUGGAGGGUUUGAUCCUGGCUCAGGACGAACGCUGGCGGCGUGCUUAACACAUGCAAGUCGAACGGUAAGGCUCCAGCUUGCUGGGGUACACGAGUGGCGAACGGGUGAGUAACACGUGGGUGACCUGCCCUGCACUUCGGGAUAAGCCUGGGAAACUGGGUCUAAUACCGGAUAGGACCGCACCGUGAGGGUGUGGUGGAAAGUUUUUUCGGUGUGGGAUGGGCCCGCGGCCUAUCAGCUUGUUGGUGGGGUAAUGGCCUACCAAGGCGGCGACGGGUAGCCGGCCUGAGAGGGUGGACGGCCACAUUGGGACUGAGACACGGCCCAGACUCCUACGGGAGGCAGCAGUGGGGAAUAUUGCACAAUGGGCGGAAGCCUGAUGCAGCGACGCCGCGUGGGGGAUGACGGCCUUCGGGUUGUAAACUCCUUUCACCAUCGACGAAGGGUUUCUGACGGUAGAUGGAGAAGAAGCACCGGCUAACUACGUGCCAGCAGCCGCGGUAAUACGUAGGGUGCGAGCGUUGUCCGGAAUUACUGGGCGUAAAGAGCUCGUAGGUGGUUUGUCGCGUCGUCUGUGAAAUUCCGGGGCUUAACUCCGGGCGUGCAGGCGAUACGGGCAUAACUUGAGUACUGUAGGGGAGACUGGAAUUCCUGGUGUAGCGGUGAAAUGCGCAGAUAUCAGGAGGAACACCGGUGGCGAAGGCGGGUCUCUGGGCAGUAACUGACGCUGAGGAGCGAAAGCAUGGGGAGCGAACAGGAUUAGAUACCCUGGUAGUCCAUGCCGUAAACGGUGGGCGCUAGGUGUGGGUUUCCUUCCACGGGAUCCGUGCCGUAGCUAACGCAUUAAGCGCCCCGCCUGGGGAGUACGGCCGCAAGGCUAAAACUCAAAGGAAUUGACGGGGGCCCGCACAAGCGGCGGAGCAUGUGGAUUAAUUCGAUGCAACGCGAAGAACCUUACCUGGGCUUGACAUAUACAGGAUCGCGCCAGAGAUGGUGUUUCCCUUGUGGCUUGUAUACAGGUGGUGCAUGGUUGUCGUCAGCUCGUGUCGUGAGAUGUUGGGUUAAGUCCCGCAACGAGCGCAACCCUUGUCUUAUGUUGCCAGCACGUUGUGGUGGGGACUCGUAAGAAACUGCCGGGGUUAACUCGGAGGAAGGUGGGGAUGACGUCAAAUCAUCAUGCCCCUUAUGUCCAGGGCUUCACACAUGCUACAAUGGUCGGUACAGUGGGUUGCCAGUCCGUGAGGGCGAGCUAAUCCCGCAAAGCCGGUCUCAGUUCGGAUCGGGGUCUGCAACUCGACCCCGUGAAGUCGGAGUCGCUAGUAAUCGCAGAUCAGCAACGCUGCGGUGAAUACGUUCCCGGGCCUUGUACACACCGCCCGUCACGUCAUGAAAGUCGGUAACACCCGAAGCCAGUGGCCUAACACAUUUUGUGGGGGAGCUGUCGAAGGUGGGAUUGGCGAUUGGGACGAAGUCGUAACAAGGUAGCCGUACCGGAAGGUGCGGCUGG